AUUGAACGCUGGCGGCAGGCUUAACACAUGCAAGUCGAGCGGGCGAGGUUGCUUCGGUAACUGAGCUAGCGGCGGACGGGUGAGUAAUGCUUAGGAAUCUGCCUAUUAGUGGGGGACAACAUUCCGAAAGGAAUGCUAAUACCGCAUACGCCCUACGGGGGAAAGCAGGGGAUCUUCGGACCUUGCGCUAAUAGAUGAGCCUAAGUCAGAUUAGCGAGUUGGUGGGGUAAAGGCCUACCAAGGCGACGAGCUGUAGCGGGUCUGAGAGGAUGGGCCGCCACACUGGGACUGAGACACGGCCCAGACUCCUACGGCAGGCAGCAGUGGGGAAUAUGGGACAAUGGGGGGAAGCCUGAUCCAGCCAUGCCGCGUGUGUGAAGAAGGCCUUUUGGUUGUAAAGCACUUUAAGCGAGGAGGAGGCUACUUGGAUUAAUACUCUAGGAUAGUGGACGUUACUCGCAGAAUAAGCACCGGCUAACUCUGUGCCAGCAGCCGCGGUAACAC
rnacentral:rRNA from 1 species